rnacentral:rRNA from 1 species
AGGGAAUCUUCCACAAUGGACGCAAGUCUGAUGGAGCAACGGCCGCGUGAGUGAAGAAGGUCUUCGGAUCGUAAAGCUCUGUUGUUGGUGAAGAAGGAUAGAGGCAGUAACUGGUCUUUAUUUGACGGUAAUCAACCAGAAAGUCACGGCUAACUACGUGCCAGCAGCCGCGGUAAUACGUAGGUGCAAGCGUUGUCCGGAUUUAUUGGGCGUAAAGCGAGCGCAGGCGGAAUGAUAAGUCUGAUGUGAAAGCCCACGGCUCAACCGUGGAACUGCAUCGGAAACUGUCAUUCUUGAGUGCAGAAGAGGAGAGUGGAACUCCAUGUGUAGCGGUGGAAUGCGUAGAUAUAUGGAAGAACACCAGUGGCGAAGGCGGCUCUCUGGUCUGCAACUGACGCUGAGGCUCGAAAGCAUGGGUAGCGAACAGGAUUAGAUACCCUGGUAGUCCAUGCCGUAAACGAU